rnacentral:rRNA from 1 species
UACAGAGGUCCCAAGCGUUGUUCGAUUCACUGGGCGUAAAGGGUGCGUAGGCGGUCGGGUAAGUCUGAUGUGAAAUCUCACAGCUUAACUGUGAAACUGCAUUGGAUACUAUCCGGCUUGAGGAAUGGAGGGGAGACUGGAAUACUUGGUGUAGCAGUGAAAUGCGUAGAUAUCAAGUGGAACACCAGUGGCGAAGGCGAGUCUCUGGACAUUUCCUGACGCUGAGGCACGAAAGCCAGGGGAGCAAACGGG